GACGAACGCUGGCGGCGUGCCUAAUACAUGCAAGUCGAACGCAGUGGGGACGGGUGAGUAACACGUGGGUAACCUCCCAUCAGAGGGGAUAACACUUGGAAACAGGUGCUAAACCGAUACUGAUGGAUGGACCCGCGGGGCAUUGGCUAGUUGGUGAGGUAACGGCUCACCAAGGCCACGAUGCAUAGCCGACCUGAGAGGGGGAUCGGCCACACGGGGAUUGAGACACGGCCCAGACUCCUACGGGAGGAAGCAGUAGGGAAUCUUGGGCAAUGGAGGAAAGCCUGACCGAGCAAUGCCGCGUGAGUGAAGAAGGUUUUCGGGUUGUAAAGCUCUGUUGUUAGAGAAGCGUUAUCUAACCAGAAAGCCCCGGCUAACUCCGUGCCAGCCGCCGCGGUAAUUC
rnacentral:rRNA from 1 species